CAAUAGCAUAUAUUAACGUUGUUGCAGUUGAAAAGCUCGUAGUUGAUCUUUUGGUAGGAGCGACCUGGCCUUGGGCGCAUGCCCUUGUUUGCCGUGUGUCGUGUCUGGCCAUCCUUUUCCGCUUCGGCGGGAAUCUUUUACUGUGAGUAAACUGGAGUGCUCAAAACAAGACGUUUGUUUGGUACAUUAAAGCAUGGAAUAAUAAGAUAGGACCUGGUUACUAUUUUGUUGGUUUGCAUAGCUAGGUAAUGAUUAACAGGGACAGUUAGGGGUAUUCGUAUUUAAUUGUCAGAGGUGAAAUUCUUGGAUUUAUGAAAGACGAACGACUGCGAAAGCAUUUACCAAGGAUGUUUUCAUUAA
rnacentral:rRNA from 1 species